UACGUAGGGCGCAAGCGUUGUCCGGAAUUAUUGGGCGUAAAGAGCUCGUAGGCGGCUUGUCACGUCGGAUGUGAAAGCCCGGGGCUUAACUCCGGGUCUGCAUUCGAUACGGGCUGGCUAGAGUGUGGUAGGGGAGAUCGGAAUUCCUGGUGUAGCGGUGAAAUGCGCAGAUAUCAGGAGGAACACCGAUGGCGAAGGCAGAUCUCUGGGCCGUAACUGACGCUGAGGAGCGAAAGCGUGGGGAGCGAACAGG
rnacentral:rRNA from 1 species